AUCUUAGCUCUACUAUUGGCUCCUCUCGCUGAAAUCCCUCCCCUUCUCUUCCGUGUUACCAGUGGCAACUCAUGUUGGAGGCGGAACACAGAGGGCGCAUCAGCAGCUCCAGUGGGCAAUUUGGAAAAUUAAGACCUUACCUGUUUCUGAUCAAGAAAAUUAAUGAUUCGCAAGGCUGUCAGUUGACUGUGGCAGUGUCUGUGUACAUUUCGCAGGACGACCCUGACUGAUGCCUGACAGACAGUCUUUGGAGCAGACUCUCUGGCGCCGUGACGUCACCCCAUUCACUGUAGCCCUCCAGCCAGCCCUCGCGGCGCCGCUGAGGCGGUUUCCAUGGAGACGGGAUUUCGGGGUUGUCAAUCAGAGGUGGUUCUCAGCUGAUCAACUGGGGCUGAACCUGGGAAGGUUCUUGGUUUGCUGCGGGUACCGUGGUGCUUUCAGGGUCCGCAUGCAGGCUUACUGUGCUAUACUUUAUGGUCUACAUGUUGAGGGGGGGGGCAAUACAGGAGCCCCUUUCACAAAAACCCUCCAUGUAAUGAAGUAUAUUUACUCAAGUAGGCUGCUCAGGGGCAGAUCCAGAAAAUUUUGGACAGGGUGGCAGGCUGGGGGCACAGAUUCAGUGAUGGGUGGCACAUAUGAAAUACAAGUAACAAGUAAAUGAAACAUCUGAUUUUGGUUUUAUGAAAUAAUAAACCAUACAUGAUUAAGAAUCAGAUGGUUUAUUUUGUGUAAAAAUGAGACUAGUGCUUUCUUUACCUAACUUUGGCUGCGCUCCUUAUUUACUCCCGGCCAGGGACGUGACUGCUGCACUGAUUCUCACCCUACUCAGUCAAAUCAUGCCAAGUACUCCACAACAACAUUGCUGGAGAAAUUACUGCAAACAACACGCUGAAUACAUCAUUUUAAAUAAAACAAAUUUGA